rnacentral:tRNA from 1 species
GGGUCGGUAGCUCAGUCGGUAGAGCAUCGGACUGAAAAUCCGAGUGUCGGCAGUUCGAUUCUGCCCUGACCCA